CUACGGGAGGCACCAGUGAGGAAUUUUGCGCAAUGGGGGAAACCCUGACGCAGCAACGCCGCGUGAGUGAUGAAGGCUUUCGGGUCGUAAAGCUCUGUCAAGUGGGAAGAAACUGUUCGAUGGUAAUAUCAUUGGGCACUGACGGUACCACUGAAGGAAGCACCGGCUAACUCCGUGCCAGCAGCCGCGGUAACACGGGGGGUGCAAGCGUUAUUCGGAAUCAUUGGGCGUAAAGAGCGCGUAGGCGGGUGGGUAAGUUAGAUGUGAAAGCCCGGGGCUCAACCCUGGAAGUGCAUUUAAUACUGCCGAGCUUGAGUAUGGGAGAGGGAAGUGGAAUUCCUGGUGUAGAGGUGAAAUUCGUAGAUAUCAGGAGGAACACCGGUGGCGAAGGCGACUUCCUGGACCAAUACUGACGCUGAGGCGCGAAGGCGUGGGGAGCAAACAGGAUUAGAUACCCUUGUAGUC
rnacentral:rRNA from 1 species